UACGGUAUAACCCAGGGUCAGAUAGUGAAUGUCUCUGAGACUUAAUCUCCUCCUCAGUAAAAUACUUGCCUCAGUCUCUGGCUGUAAAGCCUGGCUGAGCUGAUACCGGGAACAGCAUCAGCUAGUGACCGGCACAGAGUACGAACUUAAUUCUCGGCACUGAUGAAGGUGAAAAUGAAAAGGAGGUAAAGGAUGUUCAGGACACUGAGAAGUCCAAGACCAAGGUGCCGGCUGACUUUGCUCCUACGGAAGACCCUGUUCCUGGUCCGCACAUGGUCAUCUUCUCCUUGUAGCUUCACAUGGCGAGGAGAGAGAGAGAGGAAG